GCCUGGCAUCUCUAGGUGGAGUAAAUGAAGGGGAAAGGGUGUAGGGACAGCCCUCAGUCAUGGCCAGAGUCUGCUCAACAUUCCUGUCUCCUCCCUAGACUUGACAUAAUGACAAUAACAAUACCGCUUGGAAGGCCAAGCACAGAGCCCCCUGAGAGUUCACAAAGUCCUUCCCUACCCAUUAUGGGAGGCUCUCCCCUCUACCGCUGCCUCAGGACCUUUGCACUACUUCUCCUUCCUGGAACACUCUUCCCCAAGGCCUCCAGGCCCCCGUCGGAAAGGCAGUAAGCUGAUGGCAGCUUCUAUAUUCUGCAAGGAAGACGUAUGCAUACAUCCGAUUUUAAUUCUAGAGUGAAGUGGAUUUCAUGCUUGCUGCCGUCCCCACGGCUUCCUCAUUUCUGAGAUCACUGUUUAGGUGGCUGCAUGUCAUUACCAAGAGGUUUUUGAAGAAGGGCUCAGAUAUGCCUCAUGCUUAUUAUUAUUAAUCUAACCAUACGGAACCACCCUGAUAAAGGUAUCAACACAUAACACAGAGCAAAACCAAGUCAAGCAGCGAUACCACGUUCCCUAGUGUUCGCUUUCACAUCAUGUCUCCUUUCACUUGUCUUAGAAACGGUGGCUCGGAGUGAGACUUCACUUGAAAAGUGGUUUCCACUUCACCUCCAAGAGGCUGGCUAAAAUUAAACUUAACUCAGCCUGUGUGGGUGAGGAUGUGGAACUGACACACCACUGGUGAGCGUGUAAAAUGGUGCUGGCGUGGGGCAAGACUACUUGGUGGCUCAUCAAGGCCGAACAUAGCCUUAUCCUGUGACAGAGCAAGCCCGGUUCUUGAGUAUGAAUCCAGCAGAAAUGCCUGGAUACGCUGAUCUUCUAGAAGUGGCUCUGGAUGUUCAGAGCAGGUGUUGUGACAGCUUCCCAACAGGAGCCACACAGAUGCCCACUCCACAGCAUAUUCAUAUAACAGAGCACUACUCAGGAAUGAGAGUGGACAGUUGACCAACCCAACGUGCCCUAGUGGAAGAUUCUAAUACAUGGUGAAGGAGAGACCUCAGAGACAAAAGAGCACACGUUGUGCGACUCCAUUCAUGUGAAGAACCAAAUUGGUGAAACUAAAUCCCCGGGAAUAGAGGACAGAAGAGUAUUUGCCUCUGGGGGGUCUUGACUGGGCACUGGGAGCACUCAGUACCUUGGUUGGGGUGGUGGUUGCCCGGGGGUGCACAUAAGUAGAAAUUGACUGAACUCUUGCUUAAGAUCUGUGCACCACACUGUGUUUUAUACCUGAGUAAAAGUGUUUGAAAAGCUUUAAAUAGGGGGAUCCCUGGGUGGCUCAGUGGUUUAGCUCCUGCC